rnacentral:lncRNA from 1 species
AAAAAUAUCUUAGAGUACCUUUUAAAGUGGCAAGUACAUAUAGAGUCAUUGUCAAUUGAUGUUAGUACUAAUCAUGGACUAUUUAUUUGCAAACUUGUUUGUUUUUUAGUAGAUUUUUUUUUAAACAGCAAAUUUUAUUUAUAUGCUAACCCAACACAAGAAGUGAAGAGGCUAGAGGAAAGACACAAGAUAACAGAUACAUAAAGACAGACAACUAAACCAAAGGCCAAAAAGCCACAACACAAAACCACCCAAACAACCCUUAAUACAAUAGAAUCACAGCAGAAAAACCUUAACCAAAUCAAGCAAAUUAAAAACAAUUACUUAGUUGAUAUUUGUAUGCCUUGUCGCGUUGAUGUUUCAGAAAUGUCUAGGUGGAGGGGAAUGGUGGUGGGGGGGAAGGGGGUGAAUGUUUAUAAGGUCGAAAUUUGACUACAGGAGGACGGUAAGGGGGUAAAUGUCCUGGGAACUGGUUGGAUGGAGGUUUGAAUAUUGGAGUGAUAUGAAAGGCAGCAUCAGCAAAAUGUUGAGGACCAAACAUAAGAGCAGCAAGGAAUACCACUAGCAAGGAUAAGAAAAAGGAUUUAGCCAUUUUAAGAAGUGAUAUUAUUAUUAGUGUUGGUGCAUAAUACAUAUGGAGUUAACUGGUUUUAUACUAAUUAGAGACUCAAAGUGAGUUUAUGGUCAAUCAAAGUCAUUUACUAAAUGUCAAAAUUGUGUAUGAAUUGAAUUAUUCAACAAUGUUACAAGGUCCAUGUAUUUGCUACUACUUGAUGAUCCUUUCAUUUUCCACACAACAAGACCAUUUAGUAUUAUUGGCUUUAUCUCUCCGCUUGUUUGCACACCAUAUGGUUGCGCUCCUUAAUUCUGAAAUAUAGAAUGAUUUUAAACUCAUUUUAGAUUCUCCAAAAAUUAAAAUCUCAUUCCUACGACAACAGAAAAUGGAAGAAACACAAGAUUGUUGGUGUAUUGGUAGCUUACAGUCUGUUGGAAAAAUUCAAUAAGCUAGUUUAUAGUUUCUUUUAAAAAGUAUAUGAGUUUAUAGUUUAUUUUAUUAAUUCCUUUUUCACAAUUGCUUACCUGUAAGAUUAAAAAGUAUAUGUUUCACAAUUGCUUUUUCAUCACAGACUUAUAGUUAUUUUAUUAAUUUAUAGCUUAUUUUUUAGAAGUUAUUUCAAAUAGUGUAUGAGCUUAUAAUUUAUUAUUUUUAUUUCACGCUUACCUUUCAUCAAAUGAUGGAACCGCUUUCCGGACCCUGCGUAUACGUGAGCUUCAGUGCACCGGGUUGUCCUUUAUUUCAUGCUUACCUUUAUUAUUUUGUCUCAAAUUUAUUUUUAUCCUUUAUAAUUUGUAAUAAAGAAAAUGCUAAAAUGUUCUAAAAAAUUGAUAAUUAAGUCAUAAAAUAUUUACAUUCUAAAAAUAUUCAUUCCAACUUUGUUUAAAGAUGCAUCUUCAUCAUCAUAUUCUUGUAAAAAAAUCAAACAGUAAAUUUCAAACGGAAAUUCUUAAAAUUCUUCAAAAAUGCUUUUAUUUGUACAAUUCUAAAGAAUUUAACCACUCCUUAAAAAAAAAAUUAACCAUGUGAUGAUCAGUACAUAUCCUUUAAUUUUACACACCAUAAAAUCAUUUAGUAUUAUUGGUACUAUAACAAGGUAAUGAGUGGAAGUUAUUUGCUACUAAUAUUCUUGAAUUAAGAUUUAGAAAAACCGUACUCCAAGAGCAUGAUAAAUUUUGCAAAUCUAUUCAAAAAAGAGUAUUGACGAGUUUUACAUUUACACGCUCCUUGAACAUUCAUCAAUAUAUCAUCAACAAAACCAAUAUGUAAAUACUACUCCGUCCCUAAAUAUAUAGGAGUCUUUUGUAAAAAUUACGGAGAUUAAGAAAGUUAGUUUUAGUAUUAAAUUUGAAUAUAAUUACUAUUGUUUUUACGAUUUUAUCCUUAAGAGAGAGUUAAUUUAUGUUUUCAACAUAAUAUUUAUUUUUGAUUGAAGAAAAAGAUGCAAAAUAAAUAAAGGUAUGUUACUAAAUAAAUAAUUAAUGUACUAGGGACGGAGGUAGUAUUAGAUAAGGAACAUGAAUAUUUGGGAGGAAAAAUUCUUUGCAUAAGAGGAUCGUCUUAAACAACAAACUGAAAUUAAAAAUACUUGCAAUUGCGGAAGUCUUAAACAACAAACUGAAAUCAUAUCACGAAUAUUAUUAAGUUAUGGACCAAUUUGUAUGCAACAGUUAACCACCAACUACUGCAAGAAAAUAUCAUAUUAGCUACCAAAAUCUAGCUACGGUCUAUUGCUCUAGUUAAUUUGUCUUUAAUUAGCUUUGCUCUUACUACAAGUGAAGUUUGCUAGCUGAUGCUUACACUUGUUCGUUUUUUUUUUUUUUUUGAUUGUACCCAAAUAAAACUAUUUAGCAUCACUGCAAAUGCAUUUUUUUUCAAUUCUUUUGUUUAUGCAAUUUAGAUUCACUCUUGUGGAAUCUAUAAUGUGGACUCUAUAAUAUAUAUUGUUGAUGUUAAUAUUUUUAAAAUUUUAUUUUCAAAUGAGCGUUCAAAUAUACUGAUGCUAAAAUUUUGUAAAUUUUAAUUCUACAAAAAGCAUGCAUGAAUACUUAUGCAAAAAAAAUUACUCAUUUUUUUCUUUAUUUAUUUUGACAAAAUUUCAUUUUCCCCCAUUUAUCUUCUUUCCCACAAUUUUUUUAACACUUCCCGAAAUCUUUUUCCCACUAAUAUUUUAUUUUCCUUUUUCUUUUUACAACAAUUCAUUUCCUCAUCGAACAAAAAGGGAAAACUCAAGAUGUGAAAAAUCAAUAUGAGAAAGCCAUUUUCUCAAUGUGAGUUUAUGGUCAAUAUAAGUCAUUUACUAAAUUCAACAAUGCUACACUCAUAGGUACCAUGUAGUAUUUGCUAGUUAUUGAUGAUCAGUAGCUAUCCUUUCAUUUUCCACACAACAAGACCAUUUAGUAUUAUUGGCUUUAUCUCUCCACUUGUUUGUGCACCAUGGUUGCACUCAUUAAUUCUGAAUUAUUAUAGAAUGAUUUUAAACUCAUUUUAGGUCCUCCAAAAAUUAAAAUACUCAUUCCUACGACAACACAAAAUGCAAGAAACACAAGAUUGUUGGUGUAUUAUAAGCCUGUAAGAUUAUACCGUAUAUGUUUCACAAUUGCUUUUUCAUCACAAGUUUAUAGUUUAUUUUAUUUGAAGUUAUUACAAAUAGUGUAUGAGCUUAUAAUUUUUUUUUUUUAUUUCAUGCUUACCUUUAUUAUUUUGUUUCAAAUUUAUUUUUAUCCUUUAUAAUUUGAAAUAAAGAAAAUACUAAAAUGUUCUAAAAAAUUGAUGAUUAAGUCAUAAAAUAUUUACAUUCUAAAAAUAUUAAUUCCAACUUUGUUUAAAGAUGCAUCUUCAUCAUCAUAUUCUUGUAAAAAAAAUCAAACAGUAAAUUUUAAAUUGAAAUUCUUAAAAUUCUUCAAAAAUGCCUUUAAUUUUCCACACCACAAAACCAUUUAGUAUUAUUGGUGCUAUGAAAAGGUAAUGAGUGGAAGUUAUUUGCUACUAAUAUUCUUGAAUAGAUUUAGCAAAACCGUACUCCAAGAGCAUGAUAAAUUUUGCAGACGGUGAAAAUUUAUUGUGACAAUAAACUAUUUAAAAAAGAGUAUUGACGAGUUUAACAUUUACACUGUAUAAACCCAAAUAUGCAAAAACCCAUAUACUUCUUGAACAUAUCAAGAAAACCAAGAUGUAAAUAUUAGAUAAGGAACAUAAAUACGUCGGAUGAAAAUUUCUUUGCAUAAGUGGAUCGUAAUAAAAAUUAACAAUAAGUUCUUAAAUACAUGCUUCUGAAAGUCUGAAAUACAAUAAAUACAAUAUGCUCUUAAAUUAACAAUAUCAUAGAAAGUCUGAAACUAAAAAUUGCGGAAGUCUUAAACAACAAACUGAAAUCAUAUCAGAAAUAUUAAGUUAUGGAACCAAUUUGUAUGUAAUAGUGAACCACCAACCAUUACAAGAAAAUAUCAUAUUAGCUACCAAAAUCUAGCUACGGUCUAUUGCUCUAGUUAAUUUGUCUUUAAUUAACUUUGCUCUUACUGCAAGUGCAAUUUGACUGGCUGAUGCUUACACUUGUUCGUUAUUGUAUAAAAAAAUUAAAACAAAUUGUAAUGUCUUCUGAUGCCUUUUGGAUCUUCAUUGAUGGUAUUUCCUAGUUCUUCACAAGUCUUUAAGAUGUUCUGCUUUGCGUAUUUGCAUAAUUUCUUCUUGAAUUAUAUAAAAACUAGAAUUACAUGAGUCAAACAGAAAACAUUACAAAUAUCCCAAAAACCAUAGGAAAUUGUUCUAAUACUCCAUUCUGGAUUAAAACUAAUUGAAAAUGACUGGAAAAACAUGCCAAGAAUAACGUAAGAUGAUAUGUUAUCACAACCUCAAACUUAAACUGUUGUUUGUCGGCAAGUAACGAACGAAAAUAAAUUUUAAUUUUGCAUAUUUUUCAAGAAAAACAUAUCUUUUCAAAGAGGUUGCUCAGAUCGUCUUCUCGUCUCAUUUACAGACUUGACUAACUUACACCUUCCAUGAAAGCGCGACAGAAUUAGAGAAUAUAGCCCAUACUCUCAACCACACUCUUAUCCAUGAUACAUGCAUGUAUCACACAAACUCGGUAGGGUUGGUCACGAUAUUUGUCCACUCUAGUCGUCACAUGAAUGUAUCUUGAUGUAAAUUUGAGAGAACUCUAAACAGACAGUCAAGAUCAUACUAUAUACAAAGUAUUAGUUCUUUCAAGGUUAUAACGUAUCUUAGGUUAAGGUGAGAUAUAUUAGAAAAGUAGGCUAACAAAACAACUUGAAGUUAGAUUAUCAACCUGAGGUUUCCUACUAAACAUUGAAGUACUACUAACAUUCCUUCCUUAAACCAAACAAGAUGGGUAUUAAAUAGAACUAUUUAUCUUUUCCUACAUUUGUUUUAAAAGACCAAAAUAUUUGAUGUUUUUAGCUCUUGAUUUUUUCUUUUUUCUAUUUUUUUAUGUAGACCCAUGGUUAUCAACAUUUUUUCAUUUUUUUUCUUUGUGAUAUAAAUAAGUUCUCUGGUAGCCCUUCCUCAAAAAGAAAUCCAAGUUUAGUUUCAAAUCAUACCAAAUUAUUAAAAAUAUUAUAUCUAACUCCAAGAGAAAUCAAAUAGAUGACUUUAAGGAUCAAAACACCCACAACGAGCCGGUAAUAACACAACGCCUAAAACUGAAAAAAAACAAUGCGUCGAAACUCGUUAAGACAACCGUUAGUCUAAUUGGCUAUAUAAGCCUUAAGGUACUAUUAGACAUAACAAUUCUUUCUUAAUAAAUAUUAUUUUCAUUUCACUUUUUCUAUAUUUUGUUUUCAUUUAUGAGUUCCAUCAAGAAUUGUGAUAAUGUGUCACUUGAAAAAAAGAUAGACUAAUGUCACUUAUGAGUUCUAUCAUGAAUUGUAAUAAUGUGUCACUUUUAUAUACAUAUGUUUCAGUAUGGACGGACUGAAGUCAAACACACGUUAGUACUUAGCCAAAAAGCUCGACAAAGUUUCUGGUAACAUAUUUAAUUAAAAUUCAAUAUAAAUAAAAGUGUGAAAAAGCUACUCAACCGUACAAGUUGCCUUUGCAUCCCAGUGCAACUGACACAAAUGUGGUAGCCUCGGUUAGGCUACUAAUACAAUGUGUUAGUUUACAUCAAAAUAUAUAUUCUUUUUAUCAGCAAAUAAAAUUAACAACAGUCCGAGCGCAAUAACCCGAAAGACUUACAGGUACGAGUGAGAAGGAAAAGCAUGCAGAAAACGACUUCUAUUAGUUCGACAGUUUCGUCAAAGGGUGCAGUGAAUGAAUUUGUAUGAGAUGAUGGGUUAGGGUUCUAUUGAGAAGAAUUUCUGGGUGGAGAUGAGAGGGUUCAGUGAGAAGUUGAGAUGAUGGCAUAUGGUUUGAAGGGUUCGGAGUAGAGAAGUUAAAAUUUGAAGGAUCUGUGGGUAGAUGUUUGAGAGGUUUAGGUUCGAUGAAGUGAUUUUGGUAGAAGUUGUGUUUUGGGUGCAGAAAAGAGGAGAGGGAAUGAACAAUUACUUCAGCGCCAGACGCAAAAUUUUGCGGUUUAUUUUUUUUUUUUUUAUUUAACUUUUUUUUUUUUUAAUUUGGUAUGCCGUAUGUGCAAAGAUAGCCCUUCCCCAUUAAACGCUAACAAAUCAUUUACACCAAUAUUAGCGUUCACUAGAAAACGCUAUCACACUCUUAUCAUCACACACCUUUUUUUUUUAUAAUUUUUUUUAAUACCAUAUAAUAGCACUUUCUAUAAAAGGGCUAAUAUAGGUGUCACGUUAUAAUAGCAUGCGUAACGGAAGUGCUAUUAUUAAUAUUAGAGUCAAUCUUUUCAUAGCAUUUUCUCUAAAAGUGCUAUUAAAUUAGCGUUUCCGUUAUAAUAGUCCUUAUGAACAUCAAAUUAAGUUUGGUAUUUUUCAUUAUUCAUGUCGGCGAUUUUUACUAGUUUUGAUUUAAGUAAACGUUUUGAUUGACUUUAAUGACUAAAGUAACUAAGAGAAUAAAGAGUGAAGGAUUUAAUUGGCGUUUUAUUCAAGUCGUGGACCAAAAUUAAAUCUUGUUACACUUUUAAGGAGAAAAAUGGUUGUUUUUCCAAUAAUGUUUUCCAAUAUUAAAUUACAGUUGUUUUAUGCCUUAGGGAUGUUACACUUAAUUGAUAACUUAAAUAAGGUUUUUGGAGGUAAAUAAGAAAGAUGCAAAACCUCCAGCCAAGCCAAAACAACCCCGUUUCGAUUUGUGAACUUGACCAUAAUAUAUUAUACACAAGAUAUAUAAAAACAAAGCAUUGGUAACUAGUAGAUUUUUUUUUUUUAACAGCAAAGUUUAUUUAUAUGCUAACCCAACACAAGAAGUGAAGAGGCUAGAGGAAAGACGCAAGAUAAGAGAUACAUAAAGACAGACAACUAAACCAAGGCCAAAAAGGCACAACACAAACCACCUAAACAACCCUUAAUACAAUAGAAUCACAGCAGAAAAACCUUAACCAAAUCAAGCAAAAACAAUUGCUUAGUUGAUAUUGGUAUGCCUUGUCGCAUUGAUGUUUCAGAAAUGUCUAGGUGGAGGGGAAUGUUGUCUUAUAUGUGGUAAUACAGGUGGUAAUCCAUGUGGUAAACCCCUUACGAAUGGAGUCAAAUUGGUAAAUUUUUGUUCUGGGAUAGUAAUUGGAGGGAGAUUGCAAAAUGUUGAGGAGAAAACAUAAGAGCAGCAAGGAAUAACACUAAUAAGGAUAAGAAAAAGGAUUUAGCCAUUUUAAGAAGUGAUAUUAUUAUUGUGUUGGUGCAUAAUACAUAUGGAAUUAACUGGUUUUAUACUAAUUAGAGACUCAAUGUGAGUUUAUGGUCAAUCUAAGUUAUUUACUAAAUGUCAAAAUUAUGUAUGAAUUGAAUUAUUCAACAAUGUUACAACUUCCAUGUAUUUGCUACUAGUUGAUGAUCAUUAACUAUCCUUAAUUUCAUUUUCCAUACAGCAAGACCAUUUAGUAUUAUUGGCUCUAUCUUUCCACUAAUAG